rnacentral:siRNA from 1 species
AGAAGAUACCCAGUGACUCCUC